GAGCAGCCUAACUAAGAUCUGAAGCUCUCCACUCAGGUCACCCAAAGCCACCAGAAAGUCCUUUCAAAUUGUGAGUGAAGUGGGAUGUUCUUGUUAGACUGAAGUUGUAAUUAGAGUCGGGAGAUUUGAACUCCAGUUGAUGCAGCUGCAAAGCAAGAAACCCGAAGAACCCAAUUGAAAAAAAAGACUGUAACUACUGUGCUGAAAAAGAGUGAAAAAAAAAAUCACACAUCGCGCAAACAAUAGACAUAAACGACAGCAUUUCGAACCGGUCAGGGUCCUUGGAUCCGCUUCCCAGAACAGUUGGAGUAGUAGGCCCAAGCCUUGAUCUCAUUUCAUCAUAUUAGCGGGGCAAAAACGCUGCUAAACUCGCAGAGCCGACAUCCACCGGAGAGAGGAAUGAACAUCACAGGAGAGUGAGCAAAAUCAGCCCACACUCGCCUCCGUACUCGAGCUUUCCAGUCUAUCUGGGCCGGCGUUUCAAUUGUCUAAGCACCAGGUUGAUGUCUUAAUAGUUUUUGCAACACAGACGAAGUGCUGGAGGAACUCAGCAGGUCAGGCAGCAUCUAUGGAGAGGGAUAAACAGUCGCCGUUGAAGAUCUCCCCCUCAAGAUUUCCAGCAUCUGCAGAAUCCCUUGUGGUUAUUAUUAUUUUUUGUCUCAGUCAUUCCUUCCCAUCCUUCUCUCUGUAAAAGUGCUCAGAACUUUCCCACCCCGAUUUCCUGCUCGCCUUUCUCCUCCCUCCAAUCCACAAGGCCUUUUCUACUCUCUGUAAACAUUGCUGAUGAUAAUGCAUUUAUUUUAAAAUAUAGUUUAUGUAAAUGAAUGAAAAUAUUAAUAUUGAUUAAUUCUUUCUUUUUAGUUCAAACGAAUGGGUGGGUUUGAUUUUUUGUAUGCCAGAAAUUAAGCUAAUUCAAAUUUUAUCCAAAGCUCCAAGAUUUAAAGGUUAGGAAUCAAUCCUGGACUCUUCCAUGCUUCAGUGCACACACAGGGAAGUCUGGACUGUAUUCUGCAACCAGUCAAAUGUUCUCCACAGAACAAAAGACAGAAUGUUGGAGAAACACAGCAGGUCAGGCAGCAUCCGUGGAUGGAAAUGACCCACUGAGAUUCUCCAGCAUUUAGUUUGUCACCCCAGGUUCCAGCAUCUGCAUUCUCUCAUGUCUCCUUUCCCCAUAGGACACCAGGCCAGUUUUUAGCAUGCUCCAGUCCAGUACUUUCAGCAAACCAUUCCUGCUGUUGACGCCUGUUCACCAUUGCCCAUUCCAAUCAACAAAAUACUACUUUAAAUUUUGCAACGCACGCAAGGUUCAGAAGGUAGCAUUCUCAAGCAACAAAUUACAUGUCAGUUGCCAGUGACAUUAAACCCAAUUCUGCUCAUGUUGCAGACUCAAACCCCACGUUAUAGAGACCUGACAGUAACUUUGAGGUGAGCAUUCCAGUGAAUUGAGAGAGUGUAGUAUCUUUCAGAUGAAAUACAUGAAAUACAUGCUCAGUAGGAGGAGAUUCGCCCAAAUAUCCGUCUAAGGUGGACGGAGGUAUUUUGAAAAACGCUUAGUGUGGACGCUUGUCGUUUUUACUCGAAACCGGCAUUUUCAAAAUUAUCCGGCGUAGUGUAGACGUAGCCUCAAACUCUUGUUCCUUCAGGUGGAGUUGCAUAAUUGCUUAGCAAUAUUGUGAAAGAAAACAUGGUAGUUAUCACUAGCACCUUGAACAAUGCAAAUCUUCCAAGCAACAUAAAUGAGUAUUUAAUCUGCUCAUCAACACGAUGCCUUUUGUGGAAGUUUAUUGUGUAGUAGAGUUAAAGAGUCAUACAGUAAACAGCACAGAAAACAGGUCCUUUGGCCCAGUAUAUACAUGCCAACCAGGUUGGCCAUCAAAGCUGUCCCAAUUGCUUGUGCUUGGCUCAAUUUCUAAACUUUCCUUUACCACAUACCUGUCUAAAUAUCUUUUAAAUGCUGUGCUGUACCUACCUCUACCUUUUCCUUUGACAGUUUGUUCCAUUUACACACCAUCCUCUGUGUGAAGUUGUCCUUCAGGCAUGGUAAUGUAGUGGUUAGCACAACGCUUUACAAUACAGACUACCUGGAUUUGAUUCUUGCCUGUAAGGAGUUUGGACAUUCUCCCCGUGAGAGCGUGGGUUUCCUCCCACAGUCCAAAGACGUACUGAUUGGAAGGUUAAUUGGUCAUUGUAAAUUGUCCCAUGAUUGGGAUAGAAUUAAAUCAGAGUUUGCUGGGCACCAUAGCUCGAAGGGU